rnacentral:sRNA from 1 species
CCGGCUGGUUGGGUCCUAUUUGGGGGCCA